rnacentral:rRNA from 1 species
AGUGAACGCUGGCGGUAGGCCUAACACAUGCAAGUCGAACGGCAGCACAGUAAGCGCUUGCUCUUACGGGUGGCGAGUGGCGGACGGGUGAGGAAUACAUCGGAAUCUACUUUUUCGUGGGGGAUAACGUAGGGAAACUUACGCUAAUUCCGCAUACGACCUACGGGUGAAAGCAGGGGAUCUUCGGACCUUGCGCGUUUGAAUGAGCCGAUGUCGGAUUAGCUAGUUGGCGAGGUAAAGGCCCACCAAGGCGACGAUCCGUAGCUGGUCUGAGAGGAUGAUCAGCCACACUGGAACUGAGACACGGUCCAGACUCCUACGGGAGGCAGCAGUGGGGAAUAUUGGACAAUGGGCGCAAGCCUGAUGCAGCCAUACCGCGUGAGUGAAGAAGGCCUUCGGGUUGUAAAGCCCUUUUGUUGGGAAAGAAAAGCAGCAGGUUAAUACCCCGCUGUUCUGACGGUACCCAAAGAAUAAGCACCGGCUAACUUCGUG